GGUCGCAUGGCCUAAUGGAUUAAGGCGCCAGACUUCGAAUCUGGAGAUUGUGGGUUCGAGUCCCAUUGCGAUCG